rnacentral:rRNA from 1 species
GACGUAGGGCGCGAGCGUUGUCCGGAUUUAUUGGGCGUAAAGAGCUCGUAGGCGGUUUGUCGCGUCGUCUGUGAAAACCCACGGCUCAACUGUGGGCUUGCAGUCGAUACGGGCAGGCUAGAGUUCGGUAGGGGAGACUGGAAUUCCUGGUGUAGCGGUGAAAUGCGCAGAUAUCAGGAGGAACACCGAUGGCGAAGGCAGCUCGCUGGGACGGUACUGACGCUGAGGCGCGAAAGCGUGGGGAGCAAACAGG